GAAUUUUGGACAAUGGGGGCAACCCUGAUCCAGCCAUGCCGCGUGAGUGAAGAAGGCCUUCGGGUUGUAAAGCUCUUUCGGCCGGGAAGAAAUCGUGCGGGCUAAUAUCCUGCAUGGAUGACGGUACCGGACUAAGAAGCACCGGCCAACUACGUGCCAGCAGCCGCGGUAAUACGUAGGGUGCGAGCGUUAAUCGGAAUUACUGGGCGUAAAGCGUGCGCAGGCGGUUUUUUAGGACAGGCGUGAAAUCCCCGGGCUUAACCUGGGAACUGCGCUUGUGACUGGAAGGCUAGAGUACGGCAGAGGGGGGUGGAAUUCCACGUGUAGCAGUGAAAUGCGUAGAGAUGUGGAGGAACACCGAUGGCGAAGGCAGCCCCCUGGGCCGAUACUGACGCUCAUGCACGAAAGCGUGGGGAGCAAACAGG
rnacentral:rRNA from 1 species